AGAGACUGCAAGCGUUAUUCGGAUUCACUGGGCGUAAAGGGUGCGCAGGCGGCCGUAUGUGUGAGGCGUGAAAGCCCGGGGCUUAACCCCGGAAUUGCACCUCAAACUAUACGGCUAGAGCACUGGAGAGGGUAGCAGAAUUCAUGGUGUAGCAGUGAAAUGCGUAGAUAUCAUGAGGAAUACCAGAGGCGAAGGCGGCUACCUGGACAAUUGCUGACGCUCAGGCACGAAAGCGUGGGGAGCAAAAGGGAUUAGAUACCCCUGUAGUCCACGCCCUAAACGGUGCACACUAGGUCUUGGCGGAUUCGACCCCACCAGGGCCCAAGCUAACGCGUUAAGUGUGCCGCCUGAGGACUACGGUCGCAAGACUA
rnacentral:rRNA from 1 species